ACCAUCUAUUGUGUCCAUCAAUCGAUCCGGAAGUGCCUCGUUACGAGCCUCCUCGAUCAAUUUUGUCAUCUAAAAAGGAAAGACGUAUUAUUAAAAUUUGUUUUAUCAUUAAUUUAUCAUUAAUUAGGUUUGACUCACUUUAUCAUUUUUAUUCUCUAGGAUAAAUUUCAAUGGAUCCCAAGGUGACUCAGUUUUAAUGGAUUGAUCAACUUUAUCAUCUUUCACUGGUGGUAAUCCAAAAAGAGAACUGAUCUAGCAAAAUUAGAAAGAAAAAUGUUAAAGAUAUUAUCUUCAGUUUUUCUUUUGAUUUUAACUUACCAUUUGUGCAAGAAAAAUAACGCUGUUCACUGCAAUAGCUGCGAUCUUUUGUGAAUCAAGACCGAGUAAUCUGAAGAACGCUGAGAUUACGUUGGUUGGACCAAAAUCUUGAUUUUUAUCAUCCCCUCCGCGAUCUCCACGUUUAGAAGAUUCUUCCUUUUCAGGAUUUAAACUUUGAGAUACAAGAUUGGCAACAUCCUUGACGAUUUUCAAGUAAUCGUUCGCGUAACGAAAACCAGUUUUUAUCUUAUCGAACAUCCCUGUGAUUAAGAUAGAAAUAAUAUUUUUUUUUCUUUUUUUUUUUUUUUUUUUUUUUUUUAUUUAAUACUUAUUGAAUAUAAAAAAUUAUGAAGAAUUGUUACCAUCUGCUCUUCCGAAGAUAAACGUGUCAAAGAAUAUUAAAAUGAGGACGAAUUGUAGGAUCACUUUGACCGAGGGCAUUUUAACACGACAAAGAAUAUUUCAAGACUGACUAAAAGAAUCAAUUUUUUUUCUAUGCAACGGGUGUCCAUGUAAUUAUAUUUUAAUUGACGCACUUUUCGCUCUGUCAGUCAAGCAUUAAAAAAAACUAACAGCACAUAACAAUUCCGACGACAAUAGGAUGCUAAAGAAAAACUCGGUUACAGUUCUAGUUUGACGACCGAACGCGAUGAAUUCUCAAAGAAUUUUUAUUUUCUUCCUAGUUAUUUUAUGGAAAUUCGAAACAGGAAAUUUUGUGGAUAUUUAUCAGGAAGAAAUUGAAAGUUUGAGCGAGUUACCUUUGGAUAAGCUGAUUAAAAUCAAGUCAUCGAUUGCGCCAAUAUUAGAAACAUCGAUGAUUGAGAAGUAUGAGGAGCCUGAAGGACGAAUAAAAUCAACAUUACCAAUAGCCUUGCCAUUAAAAAGAAACAAUAAAUUACCAAUAAGACGUCAUGGAAGCGAUUAUUAUGAAGAAAAGGGCAAAGAUACGAAGAUUUCCAAAAUCUUUCAAUUAGCUGUCACUGCACUUUCCUUCCUGGCUUUCGGUGGUUAUCUCUUAACUUUAAUCAUUACAGCUAUUAGGCGAAAUACAAACUCAACUGGCAAUGGGAACGUCAUCGUUUUUUCGAAUUUACAGAAUUUACAGAAGUAUCAACGACCUAAAAGGAAUCUUCUCGUUUUGGAUCCAAUGGAAAAUAAUUUUCAAACGGAUAAACUUUAUCAAGGAAUGAUUAUGCUAUCUCGUACUUAUGCACGUUUCGAACAUUAACAAAUUUCAUAUAAAAAAAAUCAUAUAUAUUUCAAUGAAUAUUUCAAUCUGAAGAAAAAGAUAUAAUAUUAGACAUAGAUUAGACAGAAUCAAAGAGGACCACGAUGUGUACAUAUCCCGAAGAAUAUUCUUGGCGUGUGGGUAGAGGCUGCUUCAAACAUGGCUCUUCAAAUAAACACCUAAGUGACUGUAUACUCUAAAGGCCCACGUAGAAAGA